GCGGCGGAAGUCCAGGGAUGCAGCGCUCGUGUGUUGCGCAGUGUGGUCGCUUGGCGGGAAAUUUGAAUUUUGAGCGUAGAGUGGAGUUGCUGGCUGAGCUUUGCGGGCAUCUCGUCGAGUGCCCAGCCGCAACAACAAAAAGCGAUACACUUAAACUAUGCCAGGAAUUUCUUAGCCCCGCCAAUAUGGUCAGAAUGCUCUAGAGGAUUUGCGUGGUGGGCCCACUUGUACACAGGAGCACGAGUAUUUCGCCAUGUCCUUAAAUAGAGGUUCGCGGAAUGGGCAAAGGGGCGGAGUGGGCAUGGCCACGUGCAGCGACUAGCAGAUAGCAGCAGAUAUGUAUAUAGUAAGCGCAGAUAAAUCGAUACACUCACUGCGCCCGAUCCGCGAUCGAAGAUGAUGCAUUCCCCAGCUGCAAAUGGUCAUCGUUGCCUUUUCCAGCCAUCGGUGUCGUUGUCGCCAGCUUGUCUCUUCCGCGAAUAAGCCAGGUCUUCGUCUUCGGGUCCACUCCAGUCCAGGUCCCGUGUCCAGCUCCACGACUCCGACUCCGAGGUCGACUCCGAUAUCGACUAAGAACCAGGACCAGGACCACAGCCAACUGCAGCUCCGCUCCUCUCGCAUUUAAUUAGAUGGAAUAUAGGAGCUCGAUGAACGUUUGCCGCUGCCAGCGGAUCAUAUAAGGAUCGAUCCACGCAGCGGGCACCCGAUCUUCUGGACACUAAGGAAAAACGGAUGCCACUUGGGUCACUUGGAUCUGAAUGAAGCCUUCACCUUGUAUU